CUUCACCGACCCCAGCAGCAGUGGCCUGCCGUCCGCGCGGUCCUGCCCGUACGUGGCCAGCAGCGCCUGUGCCUC
rnacentral:antisense_RNA from 1 species